rnacentral:rRNA from 1 species
AAGCAGGCGGAGCUACCUGCAGUCGAGCGGUAACAUAUAGUACUUGCUACUUUGCUGACGAGCGGCGGACGGGUGAGUAGUGCUUGAGAACAUGCCUUGAGGUGGGGGACAACAGUUGGAAACCACUGCUAAUACCGCAUAGUGUCUACGGACCAAGGGGGGCUUCGUCUCUCCUCUUUAUAUUGGCCCAAGUGGGAUUAUCUAUUUGGUGAGGUAGUGGCUCACCAGGGACACUAUCCCUAUGUGGUUUGAGAGGAUGAUCACCCACUCUGGGACUGACACACGGCCCACACUCCUACGGGAGGCAGCAGUGGGGAAUAUUGCACAGUGGGCGCAAGCGUGAUGCACCCGUGCCGCGUGUGUGAAGAGGGCCUUCGGGUUGUAAAGCUCUUUCACUCGAGAAGAAGGGUUAAUAGUUAAUACCUGCUAUCUGUGACGUUUCUGACAAAAAAAGCCCCGGCUAUCUCCGUGCCAGCACCCGCUGUAAUACGGAGGGUGCGAGCGUUACUCAAAAUUACUGGGCGUAAAGCGUACGCGCGGGGUGUGUUAAGCGAGAUGUGAAACCCCCGGUCUCCCCCUGGAAACUGCAUUUCAAACUGGCAAACUAGAGUGUGAUAGAGGGUGAUAAAAUUUCGUGUGUAGCGGAGAUGUGCAUAGAUAUCUGAGAGAAUACCUAUGGCAAACGCACCCACCUGUCUCAACACUGACUCUCAUGUACAAAAGCGUGGAGAGCAAACAAGAUUAUAUCCCUGGGUCACA